ACAACCUGUACUAAAAUGUUUUGUUUGUUUUCGCUUUCUUUCAGAUGUAACAGCUGGUGCAGGAGAAUCAACAACCAGCUGCCAACCCAGGGCACCACACACCAAGCAUGGACCUAAACUCCCGGCCGACUGGCAGGAAGCGAAGCCAGCUGGGAACGAUCCACAGUCUUGCAGAAGCUCCAAGCUGAAGAACGCCAGCAACAGCGGCCAACGUGUUGCGAGCCGACCGGCCCCACCGUCAAACUAUAUUCAAACUGUACAUAUACCCACCGUUUGAGAAAGUUUCGGAUGCAGUAGAGGUCGUCGCUAGUCGCAUGUGAGCUCACGAAGGGCACGUAGGAAUGUCCCGUCUACGAUAUUUUGUCUGUCGUCAGCAUAUAACUCGGCGUAUGUUUGCGUGUUUGUCUCCACACGUGAACCAUCCCCGAGAGUUGUGAUCUUACGGCUGGUUUCCACACUUGCGUUUGGCUGCAGCUCAGCGUGCUGGGGUGAGUUUUUAAGCCUUUGGCGACUGCUUAUGACCAGCUUCAAAAAGGGGCUUAAAAACCGUGUAGCACAGUUAGUUGCAACCAAAUGCGAGUGCGGAAACCAGCCUUUAAAGCCUUCGUUAGCAAUCACCAAAGUAGGUAAAGUGAGGAAUCGGCGUGUUGCCUAAGCUUUACGAAUGGUAGCGGUGUAGGCUUCGAUGUCAUAGUUGAGGCGUGAACACAAUCUAGUUGAAGAAACCUGUGUUCUCAAAAGGGUUUUGUUGUGAAAGAUGUCCAAUAAAGUGGCUCCACAACUUGAGAAAAAAAGAAAGGACAGCACUCUA